AGUGAACGCUGGCGGUAGACCUAACACAUGCAAGUCGAGCGGCAGCACAGUAAGAGCUUGCUCUUACGGGUGGCGAGUGGCGGACGGGUGAGGAAUACAUCGGAAUCUACUUUUUCGUGGGGGAUAACGUAGGGAAACUUACGCUAAUACCGCAUACGACCUACGGGUGAAAGCAGGGGAUCUUCGGACCUUGCGCGAUUGAAUGAGCCGAUGUCGGAUUAGCUAGUUGGCGGGGUAAAGGCCCACCAAGGCGACGAUCCGUAGCUGGUCUGAGAGGAUGAUCAGCCACACUGGAACUGAGACACGGUCCAGACUCCUACGGGAGGCAGCAGUGGGGAAUAUUGGACAAUGGGCGCAAGCCUGAUCCAGCCAUACCGCGUGGGUGAAGAAGGCCUUCGGGUUGUAAAGCCCUUUUGUUGGGAAAGAAAAGCAGCAGGUUAAUACCCCGCUGUUCUGACGGUACCCAAAGAAUAAGCACCGGCUAACUUCGUG
rnacentral:rRNA from 1 species